CCUACGGGAGGCAGCAGUGGGGAAUAUUGCACAAUGGGGGAAACCCUGAUGCAGCGAAGCCGCGUGAGUGAAGAAGUAACUCGUUAUGUAAAGCUCUAUCAGCAGGGAAGAAAAUGACGGUACCUGACUAAGAAGCCCCGGCUAACUACGUGCCAGCAGCCGCGGUAAUACGUAGGGGGCACGCGGUAUACGGAUUUACUGGGUGGAAAGGGAGCGUAGACGGGAGUGCAAGUCUGGAGGGAAAGGCGGGGGCUCAACCCCCGGACUGCUCUGGAAACUGUACGGCUGGAGUGCAGGAGAGGUAAGUGGAAUUCCUGGUGUAGCGGUGAAAUGCGUAGAUAUUAGGAGGAACACCAGUGGCGAAGGCGGCUUACUGGACUGUAACUGACGUUGAGGCUCGAAAGCGUGGGGAGCAAACAGGAUUAGAUACCCCGGUAGUC
rnacentral:rRNA from 1 species